ACAAGCGGAGGAGCAUGCGGUUUAAUCGAUGAUACGCGAGGAACCUUACCUGGGCUCGAACGUAAGAUGACUGUAGGUGAAAGCUUACAUCUCUUCGGAGCAUUUUACGAGGUGCUGCAUGGUUGUCGUCAGCUCGUGCCGUGAGGUGUCGGGUUAAGUCCCAUAACGAGCGCAACCCUACCUUUAGUUGCCAUCAGGUAAUGCUGGGGACUCUAAAGGAACUGCCUACGCAAGUAGUGAGGAAGGCGGGGAUGACGUCAAAUCAGCACGGCCCUUACGUCCAGGGCUACACACGUGCUACAAUGGCCGAUACAGAGGGCAGCUACCUGGUGACAGGAUGCAAAUCUCCAAAGUCGGCCUCAGUUCGGAUCGGAGUCUGCAACCCGACUCCGUGAAGUUGGAUUCGCUAGUAAUCGCGCAUCAGCCAUGGCGCGGUGAAUACGUUCCCGGGCCUU
rnacentral:rRNA from 1 species